rnacentral:rRNA from 1 species
UCCGAAGGGUGCAAGCGUUGCUCGGAAUUAUUGGGCGUAAAGCGCACGUAGGCGGCUUUGCAAGUUCGAUGUGAAAUCCCUCGGCUCAACCAAGGAAGUGCAUCGAAAACUGCAGAGCUUGAGUAGUUAAGAGGAUCGCGGAAUUCCCGGUGUAGAGGUGAAAUUCGUAGAUAUUCGGAGGAACACCAGUGGCGAAGGCGGCUCACUGGUCCAUUACUGACGCUGAGGUGCGAAAGCGUGGGGAGCAAACAGG